CCCUUUGCUAUACCACCCUGCAUCCCACUGCUGGUUUGCUUCUGAAGCUAAGCAGGGUUGGUCCUGGUCAGUCCCUGGAUGGGAGACCAGAUGCUGCUGGAAGUGGAAGUGG
rnacentral:rRNA from 1 species